rnacentral:rRNA from 1 species
GGGUGGAUGCCCUGGCAGUCAGAGGCGAUGAAGGACGUGCUAAUCUGCGAUAAGCGUCGGUAAGGUGAUAUGAACCGUUAUAACCGGCGAUUUCCGAAUGGGGAAACCCAGUGUGUUUCGACACACUAUCAUUAACUGAAUCCAUAGGUUAAUGAGGCGAACCGGGGGAACUGAAACAUCUAAGUACCCCGAGGAAAAGAAAUCAACCGAGAUUCCCCCAGUAGCGGCGAGCGAACGGGGAGCAGCCCAGAGCCUGAAUCAGUGUGUGUGUUAGUGGAAGCGUCUGGAAAGGCGCGCGAUACAGGGUGACAGCCCCGUACACAAAAAUGCACAUGCUGUGAGCUCGAUGAGUAGGGCGGGACACGUGGUAUCCUGUCUGAAUAUGGGGGGACCAUCCUCCAAGGCUAAAUACUCCUGACUGACCGAUAGUGAACCAGUACCGUGAGGGAAAGGCGAAAAGAACCCCGGCGAGGGGAGUGAAAAAGAACCUGAAACCGUGUACGUACAAGCAGUGGGAGCACGCUUAGGCGUGUGACUGCGUACCUUUUGUAUAAUGGGUCAGCGACUUAUAUUCUGUAGCAAGGUUAACCGAAUAGGGGAGCCGAAGGGAAACCGAGUCUUAACUGGGCGUUAAGUUGCAGGGUAUAGACCCGAAACCCGGUGAUCUAGCCAUGGGCAGGUUGAAGGUUGGGUAACACUAACUGGAGGACCGAACCGACUAAUCUUGAAAAAUUAGCGGAUGACUUGUGGCUGGGGGUGAAAGGCCAAUCAAACCGGGAGAUAGCUGGUUCUCCCCGAAAGCUAUUUAGGUAGCGCCUCGUGAAUUCAUCUCCGGGGGUAGAGCACUGUUUCGGCAAGGGGGUCAUCCCGACUUACCAACCCGAUGCAAACUGCGAAUACCGGAGAAUGUUAUCACGGGAGACACACGGCGGGUGCUAACGUCCGUCGUGAAGAGGGA